rnacentral:lncRNA from 1 species
GUCACCCAGGCUGGAGUGCAGUGGCGUGAUCUCAGCUCAAUGCAAGGUCCGCCUCCUGGGUUCACCCCAUUCUCCUGCUUCAGUCUCCUGAGUAGCUGGGACUACAGAUGCCCGCCACCACGCCUGGCUAAUUUUGUUUUUGUACUUUUAGUAGAGAUGGGGUUUCACCGUGUUAGCCAAGAUGGUCUUAAUCUUCUGACCUUGUGAUCCGCCCACCUCGGCCUCCCAAAGUGUUGGGAUUACAGGCAGGAGCCACCGCACCUGGCCUCAACUUCUUUUUUAACUUAUGAAUUGUUUAUUUCCGGAAUUUUCCAUUUAAUAUUUUUGAACCACAGCUGACUGAGGCAUGCACCAGAUCUGUCAUUUCUGGAAUCUUGUGCGAAUUGUGUAUCAACUUGAGGGGCCACUCACGGACUUGUCAUCUGCUCUCACCAGGACUUCAGAGGAUCUCAAUGCUGCUGUUCUCACAGCCUGACAGGGACAAAAUAACAGGAAACUUGCAAAUUUGUCUUUAUUCUUGCUUAUGCUAUAAAAUUGAAGAGUCUCUGCAUGGUCUGUUCCAGGCAUCUCCCUGAGCCAGCCCAAGGAACUGCCUUUAGGUCUCUUCCUUAUCCCUUCUCUCUCUCACGCCUUCUUUUGUUCCCUGCCCUUCUUCCUGGCCUCUCUCUCUUACUUUCAUUUCUUCUGGCAAUUAGUGGACAAGCCAGAAGAAAACAAUUAAGAUGGUCAUCAAUUUGGGCAGUAUUCUGUUCACACUUAUUUGAGACUUGUUCUGUAGUAUAUGUGAACAUACUCAGGACGUAAAUGAAAUAGAAUAGUGAGCCAGAAAAUUGUGAUAAAUAAAGGUGCUUCUACCCAUAUUUUGUUUACAUUCUGGGUGGUGCAUGAGAUUAAAAGCUGUGAGACUUUGCAAAUAGAAUGAGGUAGAUGACUAGUUUUUGCUGUGCAUAAGGUCAACAAUAUCACCCAACAAAUAGCCAGCUCCUUGCCACACUCCCUUCCUUCAUUCUAGUCAUCUAUCUUACAAGCAUAAUUGAAUUAGAUCCUCAUAAAAGUCUUACAAGGCACAUACUACUGAUGGUAGUGGAGGCCUGUCUGGAGCGGCUGCUGCCAUGAUGCUGGCUUCAGGGGGUGAGGCAUGGCCAGGGCUGCACACUCCAAAGAGCCAGCAGGAGCCGGGAAAAGGCAGAAGCCCUGGCAGGGCAGGAACCUUGUGCUCCCUGGGAGCAGCUGCGGCCAUCCAGCUGUGGCUGUGGACCUGGGCAUCCCUGUGCUCUUGGGAGCUGGGAUUGGGCAGGAGCCCUGCCCUUCUGGAGUGUAGCUGCAGCUGCCCAAGCCAUGGCUACGGACCUGGGCGUCCCCUCUUGGGGGCCUGGGAAAGGCCCCCUCCCACCUGCAGGCUUGGAAGUGCCUGCUCCCACUACCUGGCCUCUCCCUGCUCCCUGCACCUACUCUGAUCUUGGAGCAAAGUUGAGGUCGAGCCCAGGAGCUGUUGCAACCUGGUUGGGUGUGUGCACAAUUGGGGCAGCACUGACGCUCCAGCCCCCUGCUGCCUUGGCUGCCUCUGGACUUUGGGCACUGGUAAGCAUGGGAGGGAGCCUGAGUGGGGGCUAAGGGCGGCUCUGCAUGGGCCUUUAGGUGUCCCUCAGCAUGAAUAGCCUGGGUGACAGCAGGAGGCAGACAGGCUCCUGGGUGGAAAGGAGUGGGUCCCUAGUGAAGCUCUACCUUCGAGCUGGGGAAGGCCUGAAGCCUGACGGCCAGGCUGCCGGCCCCACAGACCAGAGUGGGAACUUACGGUACUUUUUCCAGGCCCACCCAUGGCCACCCACGGACCAAUCAGUAGGCACUUCUUCCUCUCUGAAGUCCAUAAAAACCCCAGACUCAGACAGACUCAAGGAGAUGACAGGACAACCUGCCUGCAGAGAGGAGCUCCCCACUCCAGGGUCUCCUCUCUGUUGAGAACUGAACACUCAUCGGGACGCCCUGCCUGUGGAGAGGAGCUACCCAAUGCAGGUCUCCUCUGAGCUGUUCUGUCACUCAAUAAAGCUCCUCUUUGCCUUGCUAACUGUCCACUUUUCCCUGUACCUCAUUCUUCCUGGAUGCAGGACAAUAACUCAGGACUCACUGAAUGGUGGGGCUGAAAGAGCUGUAACACAAACAAGGCUGAAACACACCCCUUGCUCACCACACUGUGGGUGACAAGGAGAGAAGAGAGAAGGAGAGAAGAGUUGCGGCCCUUCAGGGAGCCCAGACCUAGGAUCUCCCCCAGCCAGGGCUGUGACACCCUCUUUGGGGCUCUGCGGUUCCUGGUGUCUUCAAGCUUCUGAGCACCACU